rnacentral:lncRNA from 1 species
CCCGGAUCCUUCAAGCCCUCUGGGGACUGGGUUCUUUUUUUUUUUUAAGAUUUUAUUUAUUUUUUUGACAGAGAGAUCACAAGUAGGCAGAGAGGUAGGCCGAGGGAGAGGGGGAAGCAGGCCUCCUGCUUAGCAGAGAGCCCGAUGUGGGACUCAGUCCCAGGACCCUGAGAUCAUGACCCAAGGCAGAGGGUUAACCCACUGAGCCCCCCAGGCACCCCGGGUUCAUUUUUAAUACAAACUCCCCCCUCUCUUCUCAGGCUCCUCCUAAUGCACUGCCUUGGAGGACACAUAUCUGAUUAAUUUCAAGAAUGUUUCAAUGAACCUGUUAUCCCUCCAUUUCUCUUGCUGGUUGGCACAGUAUAGGAGAAGUAAUGGGAUCUCCAGAUUGAGAGAGAAUCUUGAAGAAUGGCUGAGCCCCUGCUGCUUCCGGCACGGCUAAUGCCCCAGCCACAGGUUCUUCCCUUCCAUGCUUGCCGGGAGUUUGUACUCUUGGAGCCACCACAUUUCCAGCAGAAGUAAAAUUAACUGCAAGGUCUGGUUGUUACCCCUGAGGAUUCGGAGUUCACAGGUCCCGAAACAGUGUGUGGGAUGCAGCAGGCAUCAGGAACCACUGGUUGAAUGAGCCAAUGAGUUGGCGAAGGAAAAAGUCUUGCUCCGUAAGUUGAGCUGGGUAUUCGCCAGUGAAUCACAGUUCUGGGGUGGUGAGGAUGAAA